AUUCUUUAAUGAUAUUAAAGAAGCGUUAAAUUCAUAUAACGAAUUCAGCUUCAAACUUGUGAAACAGUCUGCGAUUCAAGUUCUUUGUAGCAUUGCUAAGGAAGUUGUUUCUAUGUCUGACUAUAAGGAAUAGUAUAUUCCAAAGACCUUUGUAAUGGUUU